rnacentral:rRNA from 1 species
AACGAACGCUGGCGGCAUGCCUAACACAUGCAAGUCGAACGAAGUCUUCGGACUUAGUGGCGCACGGGUGCGUAACGCGUGGGAAUCUGCCCUUGGGUGCGGAAUAACUUCUCGAAAGGGAUGCUAAUACCGCAUAAUGUCGUAAGACCAAAAGAUUUAUCGCCCAAAGGAUGAGCCCGCGUAAGAUUAGCUAGUUGGUGGGUAAAAGCCUACAAGGCGACGAUCUUUAGCUGGUCUGAGAGGAUGAUCAGCCACACUGGGACUGAGACACGGCCCAGACUCCUACGGGAGGCAACAGUGGGGAAUAUUGGACAAUGGGCGAAAGCCUGAU